rnacentral:rRNA from 1 species
GACGAACGCUGGCGGCGUGCUUAACACAUGCAAGUCGAACGGUAAGGCCCUUCGGGGUACACGAGUAGCGAACGGGUGAGUAACACGUGGGUGAUCUGCCCUGCACUUCGGGAUAAGCCUGGGAAACUGGGUCUAAUACCGGAUAGGACUCCUGGCUUCAUGGUUGGGGGUGGAAAGCUUUUGCGGUGUGGGAUGGGCCCGCGGCCUAUCAGCUUGUCGGUGGGGUAAUGGCCUACCAAGGCGACGACGGGUAGCCGGCCUGAGGGGGUGACCGGUCACACUGGGACUGAGAUACGGCCCAGACUCCUACGGGAGGCAGCAGUGGGGAAUAUUGCACAAUGGGCGCAAGCCUGAUGCAGCGACGCCGCGUGAGGGAUGACGGCCUUCGGGUUGUAAACCUCUUUCAGCUAUGACGAAGCGCAAGUGACGGUAGUAGCAGAAGAAGGACCGGCCAACUACGUGCCAGCAGCCGCAGUAA